rnacentral:lncRNA from 1 species
CACGCUCAUGGAUUUAAUGAGCCAGCUUAGAACAAGCAUAUUGCAACGUUUCCAGAAGGGUGAUACAGGAUGAUCUUGAGGUGGUUCUGGAAUUGAUCCAUCUACGAACCCUAGCUUGUUCUUUAUCAAGAGGCUCAUCUUCAUAGCCCUCGCCCAAUUGUGGUAGUUACCCUCCGAUAGCGGCGGCGAAACAAGAACGAUGGAGGGGCUUUCGUUUGGGUGAAUGUAAAAGGUGUGGGAAGCGGUUUGUGCAUCUUGCACGGUGAA